rnacentral:piRNA from 1 species
UGGACUUCCUAUUUACAGCUGCCUAUUGUU